AGAGUUUGAUCCUGGCUCAGAACGAACGCUGGCGGCGUGGCUAAGACAUGCAAGUCGAACGGACUAUUUGAUUGGGUAACCGAGAUAAUAGUUAGUGGCGAAAGGGUGAGGAAUAAAUAGGUAACGUACCCCGCAGUCCGGGAUAGCGUCAGGUGCUUGCACCUUUCCGAAAGGGGCGGUAAUACCGGGUGAUAUCACUUAACACAAGUUGAGUGAUCAAAGAUUUAUCCCUGUGGGAGCGGCCUAUUUCCUAUCAGUUUGUUGGUGGGGUAACGGCCUACCAAGGCGACGACGGGUAGCGGGACUGAGAGGUUGACCCGCCACAUCGGGACUGAGACACUGCCCGGACCUCCACGGAGGGCUGCAGUAACGAAUAUUGCGCAAUGGGCGAAAGCCUGACGCAGCGACGCCGCGUGUAGGAUGAAGCCUUUCGGGGUGUAAACUACUGUCAGGGGUUAGAAAUUAUGCUUCGGCAUAUUGAUCAGCCCCGGAGGAAGUCACGGCUAACUUCGUGCCAGCAGCCGCGGUAAUACGAAGGUGGCGAGCGUUGUUCGGAAUCACUGGGCUUAAAGCGCGCGUAGGCGGAGUGGUGGGUGUCUUGUGAAAUCCCUCGGCUUAACCGAGGAAUUGCUUGGCAAACUACCAUUCUUGAGGCAAGUAGGGGUGCAUGGAACUCUUGGUGGAGCGGUGGAAUGCGUGGAUAUCAAGAGGAACGCCAAAGGUGAAGACAGUGCACUGGGCUUGUCCUGACGCUGAGGUGCGAAAGCGUGGGGAGCGAACGGGAUUAGAUACCCCGGUAGUCCACGCCGUAAACGAUGUCUACUAGGUUGUGGAGGUUCUGACGCCUUCACAGUCGAAGCAAAAGUGUUAAGUAGACCGCCUGGGGAGUACGGUCGCAAGGCUAAAACUCAAAGGAAUUGACGGGGGCUCACACAAGCGGUGGAGCAUGUGGAUUAAUUCGAACCAACGCGCAGAACCUUACCUGGGUUUGACAUGCUUGGAUGCCGCUCUGGAAACAGAGUUGGUUGCCUUCGGGUGAAACUUGCACAGGUGCUGCAUGGCUGUCGUCAGCUCGUGUCGUGAGAUGUCGGGUUAAGUCCUUUAACGAGCGAAACCCUUGCCGUUAGUUGCCAGCGGGUCAUGCCGGGGACUCUAGCGGGACUGCCGGUGUUAAACCGGAGGAAGGUGGGGAUGACGUCAAGUCCUCAUGGCCUUUAUGCCCAGGGCUUCACACGUGCUACAAUGGCGGCUACAGAGCGAUGCGAUGCCGUGAGGCGGAGCAAAUCGCAAAAAAGUCGCCCCAAUUCGGAUUGCAGGCUGACAACUCGCCUGCAUGAAGUUGGAAUCGCUAGUAAUCGCGUAUCUACGACGCGGUGAAUGUGUUCCUGAGCCUUGUACACACCGCCCGUCAAGUGAUGGGAGCUGGGAGUACCCAAAGUCGGGUUGCCAACCUUUUAGGAGGCGCCUGCCUACGGUAAGCUCGGUGACUGGCACUAAGUCGUAACAAGGUA
rnacentral:rRNA from 1 species